GCAGUUGUUCCGGAGGUUGGCGAUAUAAUCAUCUUCCACAUUCCGCUCGACUGUUUUGAGGCUGGAGCCUGUGUACUCUUCGGAGAAAGUGUCUCCCACAUAGUAGACGACACCCAGGUGGUCAGUGACUCGCCUGUGGAUGUGGCCCACGGACCUGGCCAGAAAUCUCACGGUCUUGGACUCAGACUGUAGGGUGGACUGGAGACCAUGAGCUGGCUGAGAGCUGACACGAGAAUCAGGAUGAGGAUAGGCAUCAGCUGCACAAACACCCCUAGCCCGCCCUGGAGGGAAGAGCC
rnacentral:lncRNA from 1 species